AUGAAAAUGAAAUCGGAGGAGACCGGGGCGGAGCUCUUCUACUACUUGGUGGAGUCGGAGCGGAGCCCCGGCGCGGACCCCGUGCUCCUCUGGCUCACCGGCGGGCCUCGCUGCUCCGGCUUCAGCGGCCUCGUCUUCGAAGUCGGCCCCUUGAAGUACGUGCUGGCGCCUAGCCGCAGCUGGUAUACAACCCCUUGUCAUGGACCAAGGUGA
rnacentral:rRNA from 1 species